GACGAACGCUGGCGGCGUGCCUAAUACAUGCAAGUGGGACGCAAGAGAACACACUGUGCUUGCACACCGUGUUUUCUUGAGUCGCGAACGGGUGAGUAACGCGUAGGUAACCUGCCUAUUAGCGGGGGAUAACUAUUGGAAACGAUAGCUAAUACCGCAUAAUAUUAAUUAUUGCCUGAUAAUUGAUUGAAAGAUGCAAGCGCAUCACUAGUAGAUGGACCUGCGUUGUAUUAGCUAGUUGGUAAGGUAAGAGCUUACCAAGGCGACGAUACAUAGCCGACCUGAGAGGGUGAUCGGCCACACUGGGACUGAGACACGGCCCAGACUCCUACGGGAGGCAGCAGUAGGGAAUCUUCGGCAAUGGACGGAAGUCUGACCGAGCAACGCCGCGUGAGUGAAGAAGGUUUUCGGAUCGUAAAGCUCUGUUGUAAGAGAAGAACGAGUGUGAGAGUGGAAAAGUUCACACUGUGACGGU
rnacentral:rRNA from 1 species